AGUAAAACUCAAGCUUUGUGGCUUAAUUCCAUUUUAGUACACUGUUGAAUUCUGCGUUCUGAUUGGUCAGUAGGUGUUGAUUAAUUUUCUAUAACAGCAGCUCUGACAGUACUGCAGAUGUAAACCACAGGUUUCUAUUAAUGAUCCAAUACAUUGUGGUUUCUAUAGUAACAGCUCAUUCACAGGAACUUAAAUUCACAUGAAUUUAUAUUAAAAAUCUGUGUGUUCAUCAACAUGGUGAAGUUUUCUGUAAGAAAAUUAUUUUUUAUUGUUUUCAGAUUUUUUAAAAACACUGCUUCAUCACACCACCCUGUAACUCAGUAUUUUACUGUAACACCAACACACACAGUGGUUCAUUACUUAUUCAUUUAUUUGUUCAUUAGACAAUCCAGAAGAUUAUGAUGAUGUCAUCACUGAGGAACAGGAUGUAGGAGAGACAGAAGAAUAUGAUGACGUGGAGGAGAAAUCUCAGAACGACAGGGACCAUGUGACUGAGACACGUCUCCAAAGGCCUUUUCUCAGGAAAUUACAUUUCAACUUUUAUAAACACAAAAAAUGACUUUAUUAUACUUCUAAUAAUUUCAUUCAUUCUGAACCAUGUUCAUUUUCUCACCUUGUUAUUAGUAAAUAAAUUAGGGAGAGUUAAAUCACCUCCAUUAUUACUUAACAAAUGUUUCCAGCUUUCCUUUUACAACACAUUUAGUGCUAUAAGUCAUAGUGAGCUUAAAUAUCACUGACACACCACACCUCAUUUAUCACCAGUUUAUUCCAUCAAAAUCACUUUAAUGUUCAUUACAAUCUUUUGAUGAAACAACUGAUCUUAUCGUUCAUGUUGAUCUGAAACUUGUGAAUCUGUUAUUCAGUGUUUUUAGAAAUGUGUUAAUUACAUUCCACUUGCCAGAAGAAAACUUGUUUAUUACAAUAUGUUAAAACUUGUUACGAGCCAGAAAUAUGGAACUGUCUUAAAUAGAUAAACAUUUUUCAUUCAA